CGGAUUGAUGCCAGCCAGUUCCGGGAACUCUUUGCCAGCCUGACACCCUGGGCCUGUGGCUCCCACACACCUCUGCUGGCAGGGCGCAUGUUCAGGCUCCUGGACGAAAACAAGGACUCGCUGAUCAACUUCAAGGAGUUCGUGACAGGGAUGAGAGGGAGUUGGGCAGCACAGGCUGUGAAGAGGGUCCUACUCGGACCCCCUGGAAGGGGCUCUGCAGCCAUGUUGCCAGACCCAGCCCUCCCUGGCCUUCUCCACAGGCGGGAUGUACCACGGGGACCUGACAGAGAAGCUCAAGGUGCUCUACAAGCUACACCUUCCCCCAGCUCUGAGCCCAGAGGAAGCCGAGUCAGCCCUGGAGGCGGCCCAUU
rnacentral:lncRNA from 1 species